rnacentral:tRNA from 1 species
AAUCUCAUAGCUCAAUAGGUUAGAGCACCGGUCUUUUAAACCGGGGGUUGAAAGUUCAAAUCUUUCUGGGGUUACAA